UGAGGAAUAUUGGGCAAUGCCCGCAAGGGUGACCCAGCAACGCCGCGUGGAGGAUGAAUGUCGUAAGAUUGUAAACUCCUGUUAGAGGGGAAGAAUAGUACCGGUUGGACCGGUAUAUGACUGUACCCUCAGAGAAAGCCCCGGCUAACUACGUGCCAGCAGCCGCGGUAAUACGUAGGGGGAAAGCGUUGUCCGGAUUUACUGGGUGUAAAGGGCGCGCAGGCGGGAUAAAAAGUCAGUGGUGAAAUCCUACAGCUUAACUGUAGAACUGCCUUUGAUACUUUUAUUCUUGAGUUCGGGAGAGAGAGACGGAAUUCCAGGUGUAGUGGUGAAAGACGUAGAUAUCUGGAAGAACACCAGUUGCGAAGGCGGUCUCUUGGUCCGACACUGACGCUGAGGCGCGAAAGCGUGGGGAGCAAACA
rnacentral:rRNA from 1 species